AAGUCGUAACAAGGUUUCCGUAGGUGAACCUGCGGAAGGAUCAUUACACAGUAUUAUCGGGGGGUCGGCAAGCCGAUGCGUGCAAGCGCCUGCUUUCGUUUCGGUCCGGUGCCCUUGCUUGGUUCCUUACCCAGGUUUGCUUUUUUUGACCCCGAUUGUUUUUUUAGCCCGUUCAUCCUGCUUUUCCGUUUUCCCUGGCCGGCAAGGGGCCUUUGGCCCUUGGCCCGAUAGGACACUACCCAAACCCCAUUUGCAAAUAGAAGUCAGCGUCAGAAAAACGUAAUAAUUACAA
rnacentral:misc_RNA from 1 species